rnacentral:rRNA from 1 species
GUAGUUUGACUCCGUGGCUCGAGAUGAACGCUGGCGGCGUGCUUAACACAUGCAAGUCGAGCGAAGCGAUAAGGUGAAAUUUUUCGGAAUGAAGCCAUAUUGACUUAGCGGCGGACGGGUGAGUAACGCGUGGGUAACCUGCCUCAUACAGGGGGAUAACAGUUAGAAAUGACUGCUAAUACCGCAUAAGCGCACGGGACUGCAUGGUCCAGUGUGAAAAACCGAGGUGGUAUGAGAUGGACCCGCGUCUGAUUAGCUGGUUGGCGGGGUAACGGCCCACCAAGGCGACGAUCAGUAGCCGACCUGAGAGGGUGGCCGGCCACAUUGGGACUGAGACACGGCCCAAACUCCUACGGGAGGCAACAGUGGGGAAUAUUGCACAAUGGGGGAAACCCUGAUGCAGCAACGCCGCGUGAGUGAAGAAGUAUUUCGGUAUGUAAAGCUCUAUCAGCAGGGAAGAGAAUGACGGUACCUGACUAAGAAGCCCCGGCUAACUACGUG